GUCUAGGAAUCCUCUAGAAAACCCCAAUGACCAAAAUAACCAUCAUUUUUAAUUUUGGUCAAAAUAACAAAAUCUCUCAACUUUAUCUCUUCCUCACGUGAAAUUUUCCCUUUUUUAGAAAAUCUUUCCAGCUCCAGUUCCUCUUUUGCUUUGUUUUCCACAUGACAGAGCAUAGCUUCACCAAAAUGGUGAAAAGAAUGGUCAGCCAUGAAGAUUUCCUCUCAAAUGACUCUUUUGGAGCCUAAAGCAACCCGUGACUCCCCUCUACGUUUGAUUUUGAAUUUCAAAUCCCAAAAGCCCUAAUCGUUUUCUCCUAUAAAUAUUCCUAAAACCUUCGGCCGAAGAAGACAUUCUGGAAUCUAAAAAAUCACAUUUAUACAUUUAAUAUUUUGUACUCUGUCUCUUUCUCAAGCUUCAAUUCGAAAUCCAAAAGAGUAGAUCUGAAGCGACCUUUAAGCCCUUGUUCACUGCACCACAUAAGUCUUAACGCGAGACUCUCUUUAUCCACGCACAGAGUCACCACAUCCCUUAUUCUUAGAAGGUAUCGGAUAACAAGAAAACAAGCAAAACGCUUGAGGACGCCUAUGACGUCUUUCUUUUCUUUUCCUUAUCAUUCAUGCUAUUAGACUUGGCUUGUGUGAUUUUAGCUUGCCUCCAUUUUUUUUUUGAGAUUAUAUGUCAAAUUUCAUAUUAGCAUAGUGUGUUUAGUUAGAUAAAAUCUUUACUGCUUAGUGUAGAUUUGGUACUAUCUUAAUCUCAUAAAAUGUGGCUUUCAGAUAUAGGAACUUAGAAACAA